GGCUGUCGUCAGCUCGUGUCGUGAGAUGUCGCGUUAAGUCGCUUAACGAGCGAAACCCUUGUCUCUAGUUGCCAGCGCGUAAUGGCGGGGACUCUAGAGAGACUGCCGGUGUUAAACCGGAGGAAGGUGGGGAUGACGUCAAGUCCUCAUGGCCUUUAUGUCCAGGGCUGCACACGUCCUACAAUGCAGAGUAUAAAGCGACGCAAAACUGUGAAGUCGAGCAAAUCGCAAAAAGCUCUGCUCAGUUUGGAUUGCAGGCUGCAAUUCGCCUGCAUGAAGCUGGAAUCGCUAGUAAUCGCGGGUCAGCAUACCGCGGUGAAUGUGUUCCUGAGCCUUGUACACACCGCCCGUCAAGCCACGAAAGUUGGGGGGGCCCGAAGUCCCGAUGCUAACCGUAAGGGGGCUAGUGCCGAAGGUCAACUCGAUGAUUGGGACUAAGUCGUAACAAGGUAGCCGUA
rnacentral:rRNA from 1 species